UCGCCGGUUCCGUACUACGGAACGGCGUGAAAAGGGAAUCAGGUGCGAAUCCUGAACAGACCCGCUGCUGUAAGUUCCGAACAGGGAUUUCACAAUCCUCUCUGCCACUGUUUUUCCAAACGGGAAGGCCUGUGAAAUCCGGAACGAGUCAGAAGACCUGCCAUGCAUUUU
rnacentral:ncRNA from 1 species